rnacentral:piRNA from 1 species
AAUGAUAGAACCAACACAAUUCC